rnacentral:lncRNA from 1 species
UUUUUUCAUUAAAUCAGUAAUAAAAUUAAAGCUAAAGAAUAUUAAAAUAAAUAUUCGAUAAACUAUAGAUAUGAUAUCUGAAAUUUUUUGCAUAAAAUAAUUUAAUAAAAAGUUAACAAAGGGACCAAUAAAAAAAAAAAAAACUAUAUAGUACUAAAUUGAUAUAUUUUAAACUAUAAAAUUUUAAAAUGAGAAAAUGUGAAACUACGAGGUUAUAUAUAAAAUUUUCAAAAUAAAAAAAAA